GACGAACGCUGGCGGCGUGCUUAACACAUGCAAGUCGAACGCAAAGGCCCUGCUUUCAUGGUACUCGAGUGGCGAACGGGUGAGUAACUCGUGGGUGAUCUGCCCGGCACUUCGGGAUAAGCCUGGGAAACUGGCUCUAAUACCUGCCAGAUGCCAUCUUUAGUGUCAUGGUUGGAGAGUUUUUUCUGUGUAUGAUGAGCUCGCGGCCUAUCCGCUUGUUUGUUGGGUAAUGGCUUACCAAGGCGGCGACGGGUAGCCGGCCUGAGAGGGUGGACGGCCACAAUGGGACUGAGAGACGGAGCAGAAGCCAACGGGAGGCAGCAGAGGAGAAUAUUGCACAACGGGGGCAAGCCAGAUGAAGCGACGCCGCGUGGGGGAUGACGGGCUUCGAGUUGUAAACGCAGGUCGCUAGGGACGAAGCUUUAUGUGACGGUAACUAGACAAGAAGCACCGGCUAACUACGUG
rnacentral:rRNA from 1 species